GACGAACGCUGGCGGCGUGCUUAACACAUGCAAGUCGAACGGAAAGGCCCCUUUGGGGGUCCUCGCGUGGCGAACGGGUGAGUAACACGUGAGUAACCUGCCCUUGACUUCGGGAUAACUUCAGGAAACUGGGGCUAAUACCGGCUAGGAAUCCUUGCUGCCUGGUGGGGGUUGGAAAGCUUCGGCGGUUUUGGAUGGACUCGCGGCCUAUCAGCUUGUUGGUGGGGUAGUGGCUUACCAAGGCUUUGUCGGGUAGCCGGCCUGGGAGGGCGACCGGCCACAUUGGGACUGGGAUUCGGCCCAGACUCCUACGGGGGGCAGCAGUGGGGGAUAUUGGACAAUGGGCGGAAGCCUGAUGCAGCAACGCCGCGGGCGGGAUGACGGCCUUCGGGUUGUAAACCGCUUUCAGCAGGGGCGAAGCUUGUGGUGACGGUACCUGCAGAAGAAGCACCGGCUAACUACGUG
rnacentral:rRNA from 1 species